rnacentral:tRNA from 1 species
CGCUAGGAAGCUAAAUAGGGUAUAGCGUUAGCCUUUUAAGCUAAAGAUUGGUGGUUCCCAACCACCCCCUAACGA